ACAUGUAAGUCGAGCGGUAACAGGAGAAGCUUGCUUCUCGCUGACGAGCGGCGGACGGGCGAGUAAUACUUAGGAAUCUACCUAGUAGGGGGGGAUAGCUCGGGGAAACUCGAAUUAAUACCGCAUACGACCUACGGGAGAAAGGGGGCAACUUGUUGCUCUCGCUAUUAGAUGAGCCUAAGUCGGAUUAGCUAGAUGGUGGGGUAAAGGCCUACCAUGGCGACGAUCUGUAGCUGGUCUGAGAGGAUGAUCAGCCACACCGGGACUGAGACACGGCCCGGACUCCUACGGGAGGCAGCAGGGGGGAAUAUUGGACAAUGGGGGCAACCCUGAUCCAGCCAUGCCGCGUGUGUGAAGAAGGCCUUUUGGUUGUAAAGCACUUUAAGCAGUGAAGAAGACUCCAUGGUUAAUACCCAUGGACGAUGACAUUAGCUGCAGAAUAAGCACCGGCUACCUCUGUGCCAGCAGCCGCGGUAAUACAGAGGGGGCAAGCGUUAAUCGGAAUUACUGGGCGUAAAGCGAGCGUAAGUGGCUUGAUAAGUCAGAUGUGAAAGCUCCGGGCUUAACCUGGGAACGGCAUCUGAUACUGUUAGGCUAGAGUAGGUGAGAGGAA
rnacentral:rRNA from 1 species